rnacentral:rRNA from 1 species
AUUGAACGCUGGCGGCAGGCUUAACACAUGCAAGUCGAACGAGUGGCGGACGGGUGAGUAAUGCCUGGGAAACUGCCUUAUGGAGGGGGAUAACUACGGGAAACUGUAGCUAAUACCGCGUACCAUAGGAUGAGCCCAAGUGGGAUUAGGUAGUUGGUGAGGUAACGGCUCACCAAGCCGACGAUCCCUAGCUGGUCUGAGAGGAUGACCAGACACACUGGAACUGAGACACGGCCCAGACUCCUACGGGAGGCAGCAGUGGGGAAUAUUGCACAAUGGGGGCAACCCUGAUGCAGCCAUGCCGCGUGAAUGAAGAAGGCCUUCGGGUUGUAAAGUUCUUUCGGUAGCGAGGCGUUAACUACAGAAGAAGCACCGGCUAACUCCGUGCCAGCAGCCGCGGUAAUAC